rnacentral:rRNA from 1 species
UCGCGGUAAUACGUAGAAGACUAGUGUUAUUCAUCUUUAAUAGGUUUAAAGGGUACCUAGACGGUAAAUCAAGCCUAAAAAGGGGACUAAUUUACUAGAGUUACUUGUGAGGGGGCACUAAAGUACUGAUGGUGUAGAGAUAGAAUUCUGUAAUACCUUUUUCGUAAAGAAAGCAAUGGCACAGGUAUAGGCGAAAGCAUCCCCUUAUGUGAUAACUGACGUUGAAGGACGAAGGCUUUGUGCAGCGAACAGGAUUAGAUACCCUAGUAGUCGAAGCAGAAAAUGAUGAAUGUCAUAGAUUAGACAUAUAAGUUUAUUCUAUAAAUGAAAGUGUAAGCAUUCCACCUCAAGAGUAAUAUGGCAACAUUGGAACUGAAAUCAUUAGACCGUUUCUGAAACCAGUAGUGAAGUAUGUUGUUUAAUUUGAUGACCCGCAAAAAACCUUACCACAACUUGAAUAUUUAUAGAUAUACCUUUUUAUUAAUAAAAAGAUUAUAGAUAUAUUUACAAGCGUUGCACGGCUGUCUUCAGUUAAUGUCGCGAGACUUUGGUUAGUUCCAUUAAAUUAACGCAAACCCUUGCUUUAUUUUUACAUAAAGUAGUUCCCCAC